ACGAAGAUUGGCAACACCCAUUG
rnacentral:snRNA from 1 species